rnacentral:rRNA from 1 species
GAUGAACGCUGGCGGCGUGCCUAACACAUGCAAGUCGAGCGAACAGACGAGGAGCUUGCUCCUCUGACGUUAGCGGCGGACGGGUGAGUAACACGUGGAUAACCUACCUAUAAGACUGGGAUAACAUCGGGAAACCGGAGCUAAUACCGGAUAAUAUAUUGAACCGCAUGGUUCAAUAGUGAAAGACGGUUUUGCUGUCACUUAUAGAUGGAUCCGCGCCGCAUUAGCUAGUUGGUAAGGUAACGGCUUACCAAGGCAACGAUGCGUAGCCGACCUGAGAGGGUGAUCGGCCACACUGGAACUGAGACACGGUCCAGACUCCUACGGGAGGCAGCAGUAGGGAAUCUUCCGCAAUGGGCGCAAGCCUGACGGAGCAACGCCGCGUGAGUGAUGAAGGUCUUCGGGUCGUAAAACUCUGUUGUUAGGGAAGAACAACUGUGUAAGUAACUAUGCACGUCUUGACGGUACCUAAUCAGAAAGCCACGGCUAACUACGUG